UGGUUUUUAAUCACAGUUUUUUUUUUCAUGCAUCUUGGCAUCAUGUUCUCCUCCACCAGUCUUACACACUGCUUUUGGAUAACUUUAUGCUGCUUUACUCCUGGUGCAAAAAUUCAAGCAGUUCAGUUUGGUCUUCCUCUUGAUUAUAUUCCAGAGGAUUACAAUGGGUGUUUUUGUUUCUAAAUGUUGUUUCUUUGCAUUAUUUAAGGUCUGAAAGCUACUACUGCUUAGUUUUCUUUUCCUUACUUUGACCAUUUUUCUUUUUCUGUAAAUAAAUCAGCCGUUCAGCCGCCUCUACGCUCUCCACUGCUGGCUGCGGGACUGGUGCUCUGCUAGUGGAAUCGGCCCCUGUGGAAAACUGGGAGAGCUUUCGGGAGCGUCCAGCCCUCUUUCACCGAAACGGGCUUCACCCCAGCCGCCUGGGAUCCGCCGUCUGGGACUGACUGGCUCUGUCCAGAGAUGCUGUUCCUGAUGCUCCAGCCUGGCUCUCCACGGCCCGCUGUGUUCCUGCUCUACAACCCUGAUCAGCAUUAACACACUCAGAAUCUGUUUAUAUAUUAUCUAUAUCUCUCAUUAUAUCUUUAUUAUUAUCACUGAUCAUAUACCCAUCACCUACCCACACUCUCAUAACUCACAGCCUGUUUAUAUAUUAUCUACAGCUCUUCAUGGGUUCCUCUGACUGAGUCUUGGUCAUUCCUCUUAAUUUAAGGGAGUUUUUUGGACCUGUUUUUCUCUGUAAAGCUGCUUUAUGAACAUGUCUGUUGUAAAAGAGCUAUAGAAAUAAAAUUGAAUUAAAUUGCUGUAA